rnacentral:rRNA from 1 species
AACGUAGGAGACAAACGUUAUCCGGAGUUACUGGGCGUAAAGGGCGUGCAGGCGGUUGCUUAAGUCUGGCGUGAAAGCUCCCGGCUAAACCGGGAGAGGUCGUUGGAUACUGGGUGACUAGAGGACGGUAGAGGCGUGUGGAAUUCCGGGUGUAGUGGUGAAAUGCGUAGAGAUCCGGAGGAACACCAGUGGCGAAGGCGACACGCUGGGCCGUACCUGACGCUAAGACGCGACAGCAUGGGAGCGAACGGGAUUAGAAACCCCCGUAGUCC